UUGAACGCUGACGGCAUGCCUUACACAUGCAAGUCGAACGGCAGCACGGGUGCUUGCAUCUGGUGGCGAGUGGCGAACGGGUGAGUAAUACAUCGGAACAUGUCCUGUAGUGGGGGAUAGCCCGGCGAAAGCCGGAUUAAUACCGCAUACGAUCUACGGAUGAAAGCGGGGGACCUUCGGGCCUCGCGCUAUAGGGUUGGCCGAUGGCUGAUUAGCUAGUUGGUGGGGUAAAGGCCUACCAAGGCGACGAUCAGUAGCUGGUCUGAGAGGACGACCAGCCACACUGGGACUGAGACACGGCCCAGACUCCUACGGGAGGCAGCAGUGGGGAAUUUUGGACAAUGGGCGAAAGCCUGAUCCAGCAAUGCCGCGUGUGUGAAGAAGGCCUUCGGGUUGUAAAGCACUUUUGUCCGGAAAGAAAUCCUUGGCCCUAAUACGGUCGGGGGAUGACGGUACCGGAAGAAUAAGCACCGGCUAACUACGUG
rnacentral:rRNA from 1 species